UUUUUAUCAAAAUUUAGGAUUGGCGAAAAUCAGGAAAUCAAAUUUGGCUUUGGAACAAAAGUUAUUCUGAGUAGACAAUCUUAAAGAAAGGUCCGUAUUGAAUAAAAGAGAACAAAAAACAGAUUAAAAUAACGAUCAUGGGUAAUAGUGGAGGAACGAGUGGCGGAGGCGGUGAAGGAAAUGGAGGAGGUGGCGGCGGUGGGAGUGCUGGAUCCCAGGGAGGCGGCGGCGGUGGAGGAGGAGGUGGAAUGUUUGGAGGUGGUGGAGGUGGGGGCGGCGCGGCUGGAUCAGGCGGAGGUGGUGGCGGCGGAAGUAAGACAGGGGGCAGUGGCGGAAGUUCUGAUUAACGAAGAUGUCGUUUUCUGUUCAACGCAUGCACUUGUGUACUCAUUAUGUCAAAACAUAAGAUCAGUCAGACUUUUUACUAGCAUUGAAUUUCAAUUGUGUGUGAGAUAUUCUAUAAAUGCCUUUUUAUGCAAUGGACAUAAUCAUGUUUUCAAUUAUCAUUCAUGAUUUCUUAAUAAAGCUUGAAAAGAUU